rnacentral:rRNA from 1 species
GAUGAACGCUGGCGGCGUGCCUAAUACAUGCAAGUCGAGCGAAUGGAUUAAGAGCUUGCUCUUAUGGAGUUAGCGGCGGACGGGUGAGUAACACGUGGGUAACCUGCCCAUAAGACUGGGAUAACUCCGGGAAACCGGGGCUAAUACCGGAUAACAUUUUGAACCGCAUGGUUCGAAAUUGAAAGGCGGCUUCGGCUGUCACUUAUGGAUGGACCCGCGUCGCAUUAGCUAGUUGGUGAGGUAACGGCUCACCAAGGCAACGAUGCGUAGCCGACCUGAGGGGGUGAUCGGCCACACUGGGACUGAGACACGGCCCAGACUCCUACGGGAGGCAGCAGUAGGGAAUCUUCCGCAAUGGACGAAAGUCUGACGGAGCAACGCCGCGUGAGUGAUGAAGGCUUUCGGGUCGUAAAACUCUGUUGUUAGGGAAGAACAAGUGCUAGUUGAAUAAGCUGACACCUUGACGGUACCUAACCAGAAAGCCACGGCUAACUACGUGCCAGCCGCCGCGGUAA